GUGGAGAAUCUAUCAUCUUUAAAUGCCAUCAUGGACCUACCGACAAGCAGGAAUUACCUUUGAAUAAUUUAAGUUAUGCACUUAUUUAUGUGCUUUUUUCCUCCAGUCAUUCACUACAUGAUAAGAAAUUGACAUCCUACUAUGUGGUAGUAUGUGGUAAGCCUCAGACACAUGCUUCUCUGCUGGAUUUCAUGGCCAAUAAUUACCUUUUGAUGUGACAGAUAAAUUUUUAGCACAUAUAAAAGUAUUAAAACUUGGAGUUAGAUAGUUUAGAUAAGGAAGACUUGAGGGAAAUAAAUUCUACUACAUCAUUGUGAUAAAUAUUCUAGAAUAGCCUCAAAUGACUGUGAUAAAGAAUGUCUUCUCUUCCAUCUUCUUUG
rnacentral:lncRNA from 1 species